CGCGUAGGCGGCCACCGCAAGUCAAUUGUGAAAUCUCCGGGCUUAACUCGGAAAGGUCAACUGAUACUGCGGGGCUAGAGUGCAGAAGGGGCAACUGGAAUUCUCGGUGUAGCGGUGAAAUGCGUAGAUAUCGAGAGGAACACCUGCGGCGAAGGCGGGUUGCUGGGCUGACACUGACGCUGAUGCGCGAAAGCUAGGGGAGCGAACG
rnacentral:rRNA from 1 species